CCAAAGCUGGCGACCGGCGCACGGGUGAGUAGCACGUAUCCAACCUGCCUCAUACUCGGGGAUAGCCUUUCGAAAGAAAGAUUAAUAUCCGAUAGCAUAUAUUUCCCGCAUGGGUUUUAUAUUAAAGAAAUUCGGUAUGAGAUGGGGAUGCGUUCCAUUAGUUUGUUGGGGGGUAACGGCCCACCAAGACUACGAUGGAUAGGGGUUCUGAGAGGAAGGUCCCCCACAUUGGAACUGAGACACGGUCCAA
rnacentral:rRNA from 1 species